GAAGACACAUUCCAGCCAAUCAGCAGCAGACCCUCCCUCCCAGACCCUCCCACCUCCUGGACAGCUCACUAAGAAUGCAGCUUCACAAUGAAUGUAAAAUGGAUGCUGUCCAGGAGGUGGGAGGGUGUGGGAGGGAGGGUCUGCUGCUGAUUGGCUGGAAUGUGUCUG